rnacentral:lncRNA from 1 species
AUGGUGGUUGCUGUGAUGUGGACAUCACUUCAGUUUAAAGUGCAUUUUCAUUAUACACUCCGCCCAACGUACCCAAUUCAAGGAACGCCCAAAUACUUUAUUUUACAAAUAAUGUCUUCUCCACUGAAGAGCAGCAGAUAUGGUGGUCAAGACAGGACUUCAGUGCUUCAAACACAGAGGGGAGAACUCCUGUGGGGGCAUGCUUCUUCCUGCCCCUGCAAAGGUGAGAUGAUGGGGCCUUUAGAUGCAUCACCUGAGACCAAAGGAACCUGCAGACAUUUCACAGUGAGGGGAAAGUGUUGGCAGGAUUAUCUCCCAACGCCACAAAGAAGGCUCGGAGAAGAAUGUUAUCACAUUUGGAGAGUGAUAUUGAUUAAUGAGAACCUUUUUGUCACACACCGAGGCUACGGGAGACUGAUCACUAAAGAUCAAAACAAAGGAGAG